AGUGAACGCUGGCGGUAGGCCUAACACAUGCAAGUCGAACGGCAGCACAGGAGAGCUUGCUCUCUGGGUGGCGAGUGGCGGACGGGUGAGGAAUACAUCGUAAUCUACUUUUUCGUUGGGGAUAACGUAGGGAAACGUACGCUAAUACCGCAUCCGACCUACGGGUGAACGCAGGGGACCUUCGUGCCUUGCGCGAUUGAAUGAGCCGAGGUCGGAUUAGCUAGUUGGCGGGGUAAAGGCCCACCAAGGCGACGAUCCGUAGCUGGUCUGAGAGGAUGAUCAGCCACACUGGAACUGAGACACGGUCCAGACUCCUACGGGAGGCAGCAGUGGGGAAUAUUGGACAAUGGGCGCAAGCCUGAUACAGCCAUACCGCGUGGGUGAAGAAGGCCUUCGGGUUGUAAAGCCCUUUUGUUGGGAAAGAAAUCCAGCUGGCUAAUACCCGGUUGGGAUGACGGUACCCAAAGAAUAAGCACCGGCUAACUUCGUGCCAGCCGCCGCAGUAA
rnacentral:rRNA from 1 species